AGUGAACGCUGGCGGUAGGCCUAACACAUGCAAGUCGAACGGCAGCACAGUAAGAGCUUGCUCUUACGGGUGGCGAGUGGCGGACGGGUGAGGAAUACAUCGGAAUCUACUUUUUCGUGGGGGAUAACGUAGGGAAACUUACGCUAAUACCGCAUACGACCUACGGGUGAAAGCAGGGGAUCUUCGGACCUUUCGCGAUUGAAUGAGCCGGUGUCGGAUUAGCUAGUUGGCGGGGUAAAGGCCCACCAAGGCGACGAUCCGUAGCUGGUCUGAGAGGAUGAUCAGCCACACUGGAACUGAGACACGGUCCAGACUCCUACGGGAGGCAGCAGUGGGGAAUAUUGGACAAUGGGCGAAAGCCUGAUCCAGCCAUACCGCGUGAGUGAAGAAGGCCUUCGGGUUGUAAAGCCCUUUUGUUGGGAAAGAAAAUCAGCAGGUUAAUCCCCCGAUGUUCUGACGGUACCCAAAGAAUAAGCACCGGCUAACUUCGUG
rnacentral:rRNA from 1 species